GAGAAUGCAGGGGUGAGUGAGGUGGAAUGCAGGGGUGAGUAAGGUGAAAAUGCAGGGGUGAGUGAGGUGGAAUGCAGGGGUGAGUGAGGUGGGGAAUGCAGGGGUGAGUGAGGUGGAAUGCAGGGGUGAGUGAGGUGAAAAUGCAGGGGUGAGUGAGGUGGAAUGCAGGGGUGAGUGAGGUGAAAAUGCAGGGGUGAGUGAGGUGGAAUGCAGGGGUGGUGAAAAUGCAGGGGUGAGUGAGGUGGAAUGCAGGGGUGAGUGAGGUGAAAAUGCAGGGGUGAGUGAGGUGGAAUGCAGGGGUGGUGAAAAUGCAGGGGUGAGUGAGGUAGGAAUGCAGGGGUGAGGAAUGCAGGAGUGAGUGAGGUGAGAAUGCAGGGGUGAGUGAGGUAGGAGUGCAGGGGUGAGUGAGGUAGGAGUGCAGGGGUGAGUGAGGUAGGAGUGCAGGGGUGAGGAAUGCAGGGGUGAGUGAGGUGAGAAUGCAGGGGUGAGUGAGGUGGGAAUGCAGGGGUGAGUGAGGUGGGAAUGUAGGGGGCAGUGAGGUAGGAAUGCAGGGGGCAGUGAUAUAUAAAUAUUAUCUGGCAUAUUCUCCUGUAUAGCACUAGUCUGCAGGAAUGAGUGAGGUGGGAAUGCAGGGGGCAGUGAGGGUAUGACUUCAGGGCAAUGGUAGGAGUGAACGCUGCACAACAGAGCUGGAUCGGGCCCUUAGAUGGUGCCGAGAGAGUUUGAGGCCUGAGAUGUCGCUGCCUCCGG
rnacentral:lncRNA from 1 species